CCACAUCAUGUAUAGAGAGCUACAUAUUUCUCUACCAUGGUAAAUAGGUUGAAAACCAGUGGAUUUAGUGAUUAUUCACUUAAAACAUAUUGACAUUUUCUAUAGCUUUGAUUACAAAUUAAAAAUAAUUCCUAGAGGCUGUGUUAUUAGUGCUGGGAGACCAGAUGUUAGGACUCCUGGGAUCUGUUCUCAGCUCUGAAACUGAGUAAAUAUCUGAUAUUGGAAUGGUCUGUCAUUAUAACUAAUGCAAUUUAAACAACAUGGAACUCUCCACUGACUGUCAGGAAACAAGAUCUCAGUCUAGCGUGUUCUACAGAAGUCACUGUCUGCAAGGAAAAUUGCCUUCUGUUCCUACAAGAGAGACGCUUUCCUUGCUAGAUGGAAGAUGUCCACAACUGUAUGUGAACAGUCAACAUACUGUAACUGACUUUCCACCUCACUCAUGCAGAGCAUCACCAUGAGUGUUGUGGUAUAGAGAAAACUUGGUAGCCUGAGCCAUGUACCGCAAGUUGGGAAGUAACAUUCUAGGAGUUUCCAGCACUGGACCCUAUAGACCCUAGACCCUGUAGCUCUUCAUGGGUUCCCAUCAAAGAUGCACACAUAUAACUAAUAAUAGAGUUUUUUGGAAGUUUCUUCUGUGGAAAAUUUGACUUUUGGUGAAAAACUAAAUAUUCAAUGGGAGUUGUAGUUUGAGUUCCUUAUGCCCCCAUUCUCCUCUAUGGGCUGGGCUCCCUGGCUGAAUACACUGAGUGUUUUUUGACUAGCUCUAGGUAUUCGUGACUAGAUGCACCACCUUUUCACUGCUGGAGAUAAAUUGCACAUUAGGUCACCAGGAAGGUUUUUACUUUUGCUCUUCAUAAAACUGCCAUUCCAGUUAGCAUGUUACAUCGAACUGUGUAUUUAGCCUUAGAGAGUCCAAGACCCAGAAGAGCAAGAUGUUGCAAAUGAAAGUUGGGGUAGAGCUGCAGAAUAUUGCACUGUUCUUGCCUUUGCUAUGUCCAAUUCAAAUUAGUGCUAUUACUUUUGCACUUUCAUGAGCACUAAAUUCACUCAUAACUGUGUCUUUUUAAAAAACACAACAAAAACAGGAGGAAUGAAGCUGUUACAAAAAUGGAUAAGAAAAGAUCUUGUGGCAUAGAAAUUAUUUUCUGUUAUGUUGCACUAGCAAAUGAUCCACCCAUUUGUACUGUAAAAUAAAAGCUGUUUUUUAUA